AGUCACGAGAGUUUAGCCAGAAAAUUGUCGAUUUCUUCACGGUGCUCGUUAUUACACAGCUGUCAAGAUGGCUAUGAGUGAUCAAGAUGUUCAGAAACAGAUUAAGCACAUGAUGGCUUUCAUAGAGCAGGAAGCCAAUGAAAAAGCUGAGGAGAUUGAUGCCAAGGCAGAGGAAGAGUUUAACAUUGAGAAAGGAAGACUGGUGCAGCAGCAGAGGGUCAAGAUUAUGGAGUAUUAUGAGAGGAAGGAAAAACAAGUGGAAUUACAGAAGAAAAUUCAAAGUUCCAACCUUCUCAAUCAAUCAAGACUAAAGAUUUUGAAAACCAGAGAAGAUCUCCUAAAGGUAUUCUUUGAAAAACACAUAGUUUAUAUUGUUGAAGUUAAAAGUAUAUAAUUACCGGUAUGUAUCUGAAAGGGGGUUAUUGCAGAAUGGUUUUGUAUUUCUCAUAUUUAAACUUUACUAUAGUGAGGUAUUUAGUGGUGCUCAGCACAUUUAGCAUUCAAAGAGACCUCACUGUGGUUGUGACACAUGUGCAACCACUUUUAAUGGUAUUGAAACUUAAGGUUUUUUUUCUCGCUUUUUAAUUAUAAAAAUGAAACAUGGAAGUUAAAAACCUUGUUUUUAGUUGUAAAAUGCAGAAGACAUUGAUGUGAUUUGGACUCUAGAUAAUUAGUCUUUAAAAGGCUGAUUUCAUUCUUAUAACUGACGUUAUUCUCACCUCAGGACUUGAUGGAGGAAGCCAGACAGAGACUGAGUAAAAUCACAAAGGACAAGCCCAAGUACAAGAAAUUCAUGGAGGGACUCAUCACCCAGGUAAAUAUACAUGUACCAAAGUAAAAUCACAUAGGACAUCCUAAAAACAGUACAUUCACAGAGGAACUUAUUACUGAUAACGAUUUUAAUGU
rnacentral:misc_RNA from 1 species